rnacentral:piRNA from 1 species
UAACAGAAAAGAAAGGAGCCCUCUUCAAAA